UACGUAGGGUGCAAGCGUUUGUCCGGAAUUAUUGGGCGUAAAGAGCUCGUAGGCGGUUUGUUGCGUCGGCUGUGGAAUCCCGAGGCUCAACCUCGGGUCUGCAGUCGAUACGAGCAAACUAGAGUGUUGCAGGGGAGACUGGAAUUCCUGGUGUAGCGGUGAAAUGCGCAGAUAUCAGGAGGAACACCGGUGGCGAAGGCGGGUCUCUGGGCAACAACUGACGCUGGAGGAGCGAAAGCGUGGGGAGCGAACAGG
rnacentral:rRNA from 1 species